CCUACGGGAGGCAGCAGUAGGGAAUCUUCCACAAUGGGCGAAAGCCUGAUGGAGCAACGCCGCGUGAGUGAUGAAGGCCUUCGGGUUGUAAAACUCUGUCAUUCGGGACGAACCGGAGUCUGAGGAAAUGCAGACUCUCUGACGGUACCGGAGGAGGAAGCCCCGGCUAACUACGUGCCAGCAGCCGCGGUAAUACGUAGGGGGCAAGCGUUGUCCGGAUUCACUGGGCGCAAAGCGCGCGCAGGCGGUGAUGUAAGUCUGAGGUGAAAACCCGAAGCUCAACUUCGGGACUGCCUUGGAUACUGCGUCACUUGAGGAUAGGAGAGGCAAGGGGAAUUCCACGUGUAGCGGUGAAAUGCGUAGAGAUGUGGAGGAACACCUGUGGCGAAGGCGCCUUGCUGGCCUAUUUCUGACGCUGAGGCGCGAAAGCGUGGGGAGCAAACAGGAUUAGAUACCCUGGUAGUCCACGCUGUAAACGAUGAGUGCUAGGUGUAGGUGGGGCUCAUACCCAUCUGUGCCGAAGCUAACGCAUUAAGCACUCCGCCUGGGGAGUACGGUCGCAAGACUGAAACUCAAAUGAAUUGACGG
rnacentral:rRNA from 1 species